rnacentral:lncRNA from 1 species
AUCUCCUGGGUACUCCAACUGGCUAAACAACAGCCCUACCCCCAGUGCUGUGCCUUUGCACAUGCUGCCACCCCCAUCCCCGCUCCUCCUGCUCUAUUGUGGCAGCCUCUCCCCAAAAUGCAACCCCAGGGCCCUGCCCUCAGAAGGCCUCCUGGACCGCCAAGCCCUCAUGUGGCCCUGCUGUCCGUCCCUGCAGCCUCCGUCCCUGAGCCUAGACCCUGAGCCUGGCCCGACAAGGAUCUGGAGAACAUGACAUCACAGUUGAUACAACAGAGUCUCCGAUGGCCCGACCCAGGCAGAGACCUCGGAUCUCUGUGGAAGGACGAGGUCUGGAGAGCAGCCCCUCCUCUGGGAGGGAAUCCCAGGGCAGCCGUGCCUGUCCCCUGUUCCCUCAACCCCCUGUAGGGCUGGCCCCAGCCUCUGUCACACCCUUAUCUACUCCUGCUGGCAUUGCCUGGCAGCGGCGGGGAACCAGGCAGACAUGAGCAGACACCGUC